rnacentral:rRNA from 1 species
UACGUAGGUGGCAAGCGUUGUCCGGAUUUAUUGGGUUUAAAGGGUGCGUAGGCGGUCUAUUAAGUCAGUUGUGAAAUACGGCAGCUCAACUGUCGAGGUGCAAUUGAUACUGAUGGACUUGAGUACUUAUGAGGUAAGCGGAAUGGACGGUGUAGCGGUGAAAUGCUUAGAUAUCGUCCAGAACACCGAUAGCGAAGGCAGCUUACUAAGGAGUAACUGACGCUGAGGCACGAAAGUGUGGGGAUCAAACAGG